rnacentral:rRNA from 1 species
AGUCGAACGCGGUUAUCCCGCAAGGGAUAACUGAGUGGCGAACGGGUGAGUAACACGUGGGUGACCUACCUUCGAGUGGGGGAUAACGUCCCGAAAGGGACGCUAAUACCGCAUAACAUCCUGCUCUUGAACGAGCAGAGAUCAAAGCCGGGGAUCGCAAGACCUGGCGCUUGUUGAGGGGCCCGCGUCUGAUUAGCUAGUUGGUGAGGUAACGGCUCACCAAGGCGACGAUCAGUAUCCGGCCUGAGAGGGCGGACGGACACACUGGGACUGAGACACGGCCCAGACUCCUACGGGAGGCAGCAGUGGGGAAUUGUUCGCAAUGGGCGCAAGCCUGACGACGCAACGCCGCGUGGAGGAUGAAGGUCUUCGGAUCGUAAACUCCUGUUGCCCGGGACGAAUAGCUUCGACCUAAUACGUCGGAGUAUGACGGUACCGGGUGAGGAAGCCCCGGCUAACUCUGUGCCAGCAGCCGCGGUAAUACAGAGGGGGCAAGCGUUGUUCGGAAUUACUGGGCGUAAAGGGCGCGUAGGCGGCCUGUUAAGUCGAACGUGAAAUCCCUGGGCUCAACCCAGGAACUGCGUCCGAUACUGGCUGGCUUGAAUCCGGGAGAGGGAUGCGGAAUUCCAGGUGUAGCGGUGAAAUGCGUAGAUAUCUGGAGGAACACCGGUGGCGAAGGCGGCAUCCUGGACCGGUAUUG